rnacentral:rRNA from 1 species
UACGAAGGGGGCUAGCGUUGUUCGGAUUUACUGGGCGUAAAGCGCACGUAGGCGGGUCGUUAAGUCAGGGGUGAAAUCCCGGAGCUCAACUCCGGAACUGCCUUUGAUACUGGGGAUCUUGAGUCCGGAAGAGGUGAGUGGAACUCCGAGUGUAGAGGUGAAAUUCGUAGAUAUUCGCAAGAACGCCAGUGGCGAAGGCGGCGCACUGGCCCGGUACUGACGCUGAGGUGCGAAAGCGUGGGGAGCAAACAGG